rnacentral:rRNA from 10 species
CACACGACUCUCGGCAACGGAUAUCUCGGCUCUCGCAUCGAUGAAGAACGUAGCGAAAUGCGAUACCUGGUGUGAAUUGCAGAAUCCCGCGAACCAUCGAGUCUUUGAACGCAAGUUGCGCCCGAGGCCAUUCGGCUGAGGGCACGCCUGCCUGGGCGUCACGC